GAUGAACGCUGGCGGUGUGCCUAAUACAUGCAAGUCGAGCGGAGAGAGGUAGCUUGCUACUGAUCUUAGCGGCGGACGGGUGAGUAAUGCUUAGGAAUCUGCCUAUUAGUGGGGGACAACAUUUCGAAAGGAAUGCUAAUACCGCAUACGUCCUACGGGAGAAAGCAGGGGAUCUUCGGACCUUGCGCUAAUAGAUGAGCCUAAGUCGGAUUAGCUAGUUGGUGGGGUAAAGGCCUACCAAGGCGACGAUCUGUAGCGGGUCUGAGAGGAUGAUCCGCCAAACUGGGACUGAGACACGGCCCAGACUCCUACGGGAGGCAGCAGUGGGGAAUAUUGGACAAUGGGCGGAAGCCUGAUCCAGCCAUGCCGCGUGUGUGAAGAAGGCCUUAUGGUUGUAAAGCACUUUAAGCGAGGAGGAGGCUACUUUAGUUAAUACCUAGAGAUAGUGGACGUUACUCGCAGAAUAAGCACCGGCUAACUCUGUGCCAGCCGCCGCCGUAA
rnacentral:rRNA from 1 species